AGUGUGCUGUUGGCCUCUGGGAACAGGGAAUUGCGGGUUGAAUGUGCAGCAUAAUCACUGAACCACAAAAACGGUCUCAAGACUGAGACUUUACUAAUAAGCUUAUGGAGCUGAGAGAAGAGGAAUCCUUUCUACUGCAAUGAAGUUUGUCACAAAAGAAGUCUAGGAUUCUGUGACACACUGUUGUUUGUUUCAAAAUGGAGGGACCACGAUUCAAGGAAUGUGGAUGGGCUCUACAAGCUGAGUGGCUUCCAGCAGACAGUGAGCAAGCAGUGACCCCAGUUCGAUAACCACAAGGAACUGAAUUUUGUCAAUAACAAGAAUGAACUUAGAAGUCUAUAGAAAUUCUGCAGACAAGAACUCAGCCUGACUGACACUUUAAUUUUGGCCUUUUGAUACCCUGAACAGAGAACCCAGUUACUCUCUGUAUGAGGUUGAAAUACAGAACUAUGAACUAAUA